AGAGUUUGAUCCUGGCUCAGGAUGAACGCUAGCGACAGGCUUAACACAUGCAAGUCGAGGGGCAGCGGGGGAGCAGCAAUGCUCCCGCCGGCGACCGGCGCACGGGUGAGUAACACGUAUGGAACCUGCCCGCAGCAGGGGGAUAAGCGGAAGAAAUUCCGUCUAAUACCGCGUAACACCGCGGAGGGGCAUCCCUCGGCGGUUAAAGAUUCAUCGGCUGCGGAUGGCCAUGCGGCGCAUUAGCUAGUCGGCGGGGUAACGGCCCACCGAGGCGACGAUGCGUAGGGGUUCUGAGAGGAAGGUCCCCCACACUGGUACUGAGACACGGACCAGACUCCUACGGGAGGCAGCAGUGAGGAAUAUUGGUCAAUGGCCGGGAGGCUGAACCAGCCAAGCCGCGUGAGGGAAGACGGCCCUACGGGUUGUAAACCUCUUUUGUCAGGGAGCAAGAGGCGGGUCGGGACCUGCUGUGAGAGUACCCGAAGAAAAAGCAUCGGCUAACUCCGUGCCAGCAGCCGCGGUAAUACGGAGGAUGCGAGCGUUAUCCGGAUUUAUUGGGUUUAAAGGGUGCGCAGGCGGAGGCACAAGUCAGCGGUAAAAUCGCGGGGCUCAACCCCGCUCCGCCGUUGAAACUGUGUCCCUUGAGUGCGCGAAGGGUAGGCGGAAUGCGUGGUGUAGCGGUGAAAUGCAUAGAUAUCACGCAGAACUCCGAUCGCGAAGGCAGCCUACCGGCGCGCAACUGACGCUCAUGCACGAAAGCGUGGGUAUCGAACAGGAUUAGAUACCCUGGUAGUCCACGCAGUAAACGAUGAAUGCUAUCUGUCCGGCCGGAAUGACGGCUGGGUGGCACAGCGAAAGCGUUAAGCAUUCCACCUGGGGAGUACGCCGGCAACGGUGAAACUCAAAGGAAUUGACGGGGGCCCGCACAAGCGGAGGAACAUGUGGUUUAAUUCGAUGAUACGCGAGGAACCUUACCCGGGCUCAAACGACACAGGGAUGCCGCCGAAAGGUGGCAGUCCUUCGGGACCUGUGUCGAGGUGCUGCAUGGUUGUCGUCAACUCGUGCCGUGAGGUGUCGGCUUAAGUGCCAUAACGAGCGCAACCCCCAUCUUCAGUUGCCAUCAGGUAGAGCUGGGCACUCUGGAGAGACUGCCGGCGCAAGCUGCGAGGAAGGCGGGGAUGACGUCAAAUCAGCACGGCCCUUACGUCCGGGGCGACACACGUGUUACAAUGGCAGGUACAGCGGGAAGCCAGGCGGCGACGCCGAGCGGAACCCGAAAACCUGUCUCAGUUCGGAUCGGAGUCUGCAACCCGACUCCGUGAAGCUGGAUUCGCUAGUAAUCGCGCAUCAGCCAUGGCGCGGUGAAUACGUUCCCGGGCCUUGUACUCACCGCCCGUCA
rnacentral:rRNA from 1 species